AUACGGAGGGGGUUAGCGUUGUUCGGAAUUGCUGGGCGUAAAGCGCACGUAGGCGGAUUGGAAAGUUGGGGGUGAAAUCCCAGGGCUCAACCCUGGAACUGCCUCCAAAACUAACAGUCUAGAGUUCGAGAGAGGUGAGUGGAAUUCCAAGUGUAGAGGUGAAAUUCGUUGAUAUUAGGAGGAACACCAGUGGCGAAGGCGGCUCACUGGCUCGAUACUGACGCUCAGGUGCGAAAGCUUGGGGAGCAAACAGGAUUAGAAACCCCAGUAGUCC
rnacentral:rRNA from 1 species